UUUGUAUAUCUAAAAUCCCUUAAUCAACUUUCCUCUCAGUGUCUCUCUCUCGUUCCUUGCAAAUCCGACUGUUGACGAAGAAGCCAACGCCUUCCGCCCUCUCCUGCGAAUCUACGAUGAAGAUGAUAGACGACAACAAAGCAAGCAGAAGCCAUGGUGGACGACGAAGCUAGAAGUCAACGCCUCUGCCCCCGCCUUCCCCUGCGAAUCUGUGAAUCUGGUGCUACUUCAGAGUGCAAUUAGGGUUAUGAACUAAAUUAUGAAUACAUUCUCUCCACCAGAAGUGAUGCUUUUCCAGGAUGAAACAGUGGUGAAGAAGUGCAGAAAGUAAGAUCUAUU